AACGAACGCUGGCGGCGUGGAUAAGACAUGCAAGUCGAACGGGACAAGUAGCAAUAUUUGUCUAGUGGCGAACGGGUGCGUAACACGUGGGCAACAUGCCUGGAAGAGCGGGAUAGCCCGGGGAAACUCGGAUUAAUACCGCAUGUGACAACGGGGCGGAUUCGCCCUGUUUUCAAAGGUGGGGACCGCAAGGCCUGCCGCUUCCAGGUUGGCCCGCGUCCUAUCAGCUAGUUGGCGGGGUAACGGCCCACCAAGGCGACGACGGGUAGCUGGUCUGAGAGGACGACCAGCCACACUGGAACUGAGACACGGUCCAGACACCUACGGGUGGCAGCAGUCGAGAAUCUUUCACAAUGGGGGAAACCCUGAUGGAGCGACGCCGCGUGGAGGAUGACGGUCUUCGGAUUGUAAACUCCUGUCAUGAAAGAACAAGCGGAGCGGGUGAACAGCCCGCCGAGUUGAUAGUAUUUCAAGAGGAAGGGACGGCUAACUUCGUGCCAGCCGCCGCCGUAACAC
rnacentral:rRNA from 1 species